rnacentral:rRNA from 1 species
CGGGGGGCAGCAGCAGCAGGGAAUAUUGCACAAUGGACGGAAGUCUGAUGCAGCGACGCCGCGUGGAUGAUGAAGGCCCUCGGGUUGUAAAAUCCUUUUCAGGGGGACGAGGAAGGACGGUACCCUUGGAAUAAGCGUCGGCUAACUACGUGCCAGCAGCCGCGGUAAGACGUAGGACGCAAGCGUUAUCCGGAUUUACUGGGCGUAAAGCGUCUGUAGGCGGAAUGGUAAGUUGGACGUGAAAGCUCCGGGCUCAACCCGGAGAGGCCGUUCAAUACUGCCAAACUAGAGGGCAUCAGAGGAGCGUGGAAUUUCCGGUGUAGCGGUAAUAUGCGCAGAUAUCGGAAGGAACACCAAUGGCGAAGGCAGCGCUCUGGGAUGAACCUGACGCUAAGAGACGAAAGCUAGGGGAGCGAACAGGAUUAGAUACCCCCGUAGUC